GCCAGAGCCCCUUGCCAGGACUUAUGUUUUGGAGUCCUUUCCAGGGGCAGUGUUCCUCUUCAAUGUUCCAUCCUAGAUUAUUGUCUCCUUCUCUGGGCUGACCCACAUUUCUACUUUCUUUGUUCUCUUCCUGAUUCUCACAGCUGACUACCCAGAUGAGCUGCAGUGCCUGUAUGCUCCUGUGCUGACCCAGGCUGAGUGUCAAGCCUGCUACCCUGGAAGGAUUACCAGCAACAUGUUCUGUAUAGGCUUCCUUGAGGGAGGCAAGGAUUCCUGCCAGGGGGACUCUGGUGGUCCUGCAGUCUGCGACGGAGAGCUCCAAGGAAUUGUCUCCUGGGGCGAUGGCUGUGCCCAGAAGAACAAGCCUGGAGUCUACACCAAGGUCUACAACUAUUUGGCCUGGAUUAAGGAAACCAUAGCUGCAAACAGCUAAAGCCCCCGAUCCCUCUGCAGUCUCUAUACCAAUAAAGUGACCUUGUUCUCACUG